rnacentral:snRNA from 1 species
GUGCUCACUUCAGCAGCACAUACACUAAAACUGGAACAAUACAGAGAAGAUUAGCAUGAUCUCUGCACCAGGAUGACACACAAAAUCGAGAAGCAUUCCAUAUUUUU